CCUGGCGCCUCCCGCGGUCCUCUCCGCCGGCUUGCCCGCCUCCCCUUCGACGACGAUGGCGGACCCGCAUUCCGCGCCCUCCCUCCUCGACGGCAGCCGCCGGACCGAGCGCACGACACCAACUUCGGUCACCCUUCCUUCUACCGCUUCCACAAGCCGAUCCUCGGCUUCCUCCGUCAUCGGCAGGCCGUGUACGACAACCGCGAACAGUGCGAGCGGCGUAGCGGGCGAGAAGCCGGCUUCGAGAGCAGCAAGGCGGAGGCUGUGCCGCCGUGCCUUUCGCUGGCGAACGCGUCGGAGGUCGAUGGGGCGGAGGCGUCGAUCCAUGGCGUUGCGUCGUUGCAGUGUAGGUCGUUGGAGGGCGCUCGUAGUGAGGGCGAGUGCGAGACUGACUGCCACAGCACAUAACGAGUCAGAAGGGGUAUCUACUGAUGUGAAGAGGCUAUAGUAGUGGUACAGUGGGAGGGUGAGUGGAAGUAGAGCGGAAAAGUAGAAGCGAGAGCAAAGAAGUGCGAUAAAACGACGGGGAGUGAGAGUGGAAGAGCGCAAUGUGGCAGGCUGGUUAAGGAGUGUGUAUAGGGCUUGGGGAACGAAGAACAAAACCGAGUGCUCAAGAAACCAUCGAGAAAAUGCCAUUUUU
rnacentral:misc_RNA from 1 species